rnacentral:other from 1 species
CACCGGUGGAGACAACACAGGAAUCUUCAGUCUGUUGUGCACCAGUGUGAGCGGUAAGCCCCCUGCGGCCUGCUUUCUUGGGCCUGACCUUAGCCUUUUCGCCAUUUAGCCUCUCCUGACUCCCGUCCUCUCGUUUUCAGAUCAGUGACCUCUCUGCGCACCAGUUCUGCAGCCUGUUGCUGGAUUGUUUGCGACUCCUGCUGACCGCCUGGCAGACGGCGCCGCCGAGAUGAAGCUGUGUCUGGUGGCUGCGGUCCUUCUG